GACGAACCGAGCGAACGUUGUUCGGAAUCACUGGGCUUAAAGGGCGCGUAGGCGGGCUGCCGCGUCCGGGGUGAAAUCCCACGGCUCAACCGUGGAACGGCCCCGGGUACGGGCGGCCUCGAGGGGGGUAGGGGCGUGCGGAACUGUGGGUGGAGCGGUGAAAUGCGUUGAUAUCCACAGGAACUCCGGUGGCGAAGGCGGCACGCUGGACCCCUUCUGACGCUGAGGCGCGAAAGCCAGGGGAGCGAACGGG
rnacentral:rRNA from 1 species